rnacentral:tRNA from 1 species
GCGAUCGUAGCUCAGUCGGUUAGAGCGCUGGUUUGUGGUACCAGAGGUCGGGGGUUCGGAUCCCCUCGAUCGCCCCA